rnacentral:ncRNA from 1 species
UGACCUCGGAUCAGGUAGGGAUACCCGCUGAACUUAAGCAUAUCAAUAAGCGGAGGAAAAGAAACCAACAGGGAUUACCUCAGUAACGGCGAGUGAAGCGGUAACAGCUCAAAUUUGAAAGCUGCCAACAGGCCGCGUUGUAAUUUGUAGAAGAUGCUUUGGGUGUUGGCUUGGUCUAAGUUCCUUGGAACAGGACGUCAUAGAGGGUGAGAAUCCCGUACGUGACUGGUGCCAGCAUCCGUGUAAAGCUCUUUCGACGAGUCGAGUUGUUUGGGAAUGCAGCUCAAAAUUGGUGGUAAAUUUCAUCUAAAGCUAAAUAUUGGCCAGAGACCGAUAGCGCACAAGUAGAGUGAUCGAAAGAUGAAAAGCACUUUGGAAAGAGAGUUAAACAGUACGUGAAAUUGUUGAAAGGGAAGCGCUUGCAAUCAGACUUGCAGGCGGUCGAUCAUCCGAGGUUCUCCCCGGUGCACUCGAUCGUCUUCAGGCCAGCAUCGGUUUCGGUGGUGGGAUAAAGGCUGUGGGAAUGUGGCUCUUCGGAGUGUUAUAGCCCACGGUGCAAUGCUGCCUACCGGGACCGAGGACCGCGCUUCGGCUAGGAUGCUGGCGUAAUGGUUGUAAGCGACCCGUCUUGAAACACGGACCAAGGAGUCUAACAUCUAUGCGAGUGUUUGGGUGUCAAACCCAUACGCGUAAUGAAAGUGAACGGAGGUGAGAGCCCUUUAGGGCGCAUCAUCGACCGAUCCUGAUGUCUUCGGAUGGAUUUGAGUAAGAGCAUAGCUGUUGGGACCCGAAAGAUGGUGAACUAUGCGUGAAUAGGGUGAAGCCAGAGGAAACUCUGGUGGAGGCUCGCAGCGGUUCUGACGUGCAAAUCGAUCGUCAAAUUUGCGUAUAGGGGCGAAAGACUAAUCGAACCAUUGGAACACUACUAGGUGGUUAAGAGAGAAACACAUCUAGUCCGCUACGGCGGGCAACACUCUCCAAUUGCGGGGACGUCCUGUUAGGGUAUC